CUACGGGAGGCUGCAGUGAGGAAUAUUGCACAAUGGGGGGAACCCUGAUGCAGCAACGUCGCGUGGAGGAUGACGCAUCUCGGUGUGUAAACUCCUUUUAUAUGUCAAGAAAAUGACGGUAGCAUAUGAAUAAGCACCGGCUAACUCCGUGCCAGCAGCCGCGGUAAUACGGAGGGUGCAAGCGUUACUCGGAAUCACUGGGCGUAAAGGACGCGUAGGCGGGUUGGAAAGUCAGGUGUGAAAUCCUACAGCUUAACUGUAGAACUGCACUUGAAACUUCUAAUCUAGAGUAUGGGAGGGGGAGAUGGAAUUAGUGGUGUAGGGGUAAAAUCCGUAGAUAUCACUAGGAAUACCUAAAGCGAAGGCGAUCUCCUGGAACAUUACUGACGCUAAGGCGUGAAAGCGUGGGGAGCAAACAGGAUUAGAUACCCUCGUAGUC
rnacentral:rRNA from 1 species